CCUACGGGAGGCAGCAGUGAGGAAUAUUGGUCAAUGGGCGGAAGCCUGAACCAGCCAAGUAGCGUGCGGGAUGAAGGCCCUACGGGUCGUAAACCGCUUUUGCACGGGGAUAACACCCUCCACUUGUGGAGGUCUGCAGGUACCGUGCGAAUAAGGGCCGGCUAAUUCCGUGCCAGCAGCCGCGGUAAUUCGGAAGGCCCGAGCGUUAUCCGGAUUCAUUGGGCUUAAAGGGAGCGUAGGCGGGCGUUCAAGUCAGCUGUAAAAGCGCGCGGCUCAACCGCGCCCCGCAGUUGAAACUGGACGCCUUGAGUUCACAACAGGCAGGCGGAAUUCGUGGUGUAGCGGUGAAAUGCAUAGAUAUCACGAGGAACCCCGAUUGCGAUGGCAGCCUGCCGGGGUGCGACUGACGCUGAGGCUCGAAGGUGCGGGUAUCAAACAGGAUUAGAUACCCCUGUAGUC
rnacentral:rRNA from 1 species